GACGAACGCUGGCGGCGUGCUUAACACAUGCAAGUCGAGCGGUAAGGCCCUUUCGGGGGUACACGAGCGGCGAACGGGUGAGUAACACGGGGGUGACCUGCCCUCAGCUCUGGGAUAAGCCUGGGAAACCGGGUCUAAUACCGGAUAUGACUCCAUGACGCAUGUUGUGGGGUGGAAAGCCUUGUGCGGCUGAGGAUGGGCCCGCGGCCUAUCAGCUUGUUGGUGGGGUGAUGGCCUACCAAGGCGACGACGGGUAGCCGGCCUGAGAGGGCGACCGGCCACACUGGGGCUGAGACACGGCCCAGACUCCUACGGGAGGCAGCAGGUGGGGAAUCUUGCGCAAGUGGGCGAAAGCCUGACGCAGCGACGCCGCGUGA
rnacentral:rRNA from 1 species